GGACAAGGUUCGUGGCGGUUAGGACAAGGUUGCUGGCGGUGAGGACAUUGUCCUCGCCGCCAGCAACCUUGUCCUCACCGCCAGCAACC
rnacentral:miRNA from 1 species